AAGUACCUCCUCCUGAAAAAGAUACUCAUGUUGUAUCCAACUCUGGAGUCUUUGGGUCAUCAUCCAUUGCUGAUGGUUUUAAUUGGGGGAUUGGAAAUAUGAUGGGACACAGAUUUUUUGAAGCCAUUUUUGGUCCUCGUACCGUUAGACAAGAAAUAGUAGUACCAGCUGAAAAGGUUAAAGAAGUUGCUAUUGUUUCUGCCGAGGAUGAUAACGAUAAAUUCAAGGACUAUACUGAAACAUGCGGUAUCAGCUAAAAUGCAUUUCAAGACUGUUUGAAUGUUGAAGGGAACAAUCUAAGAAAAUGCCACUUCUUCAUGGAUUCGCUGUUCGAGUGCAGGAGGAAUUCGAGUUCCUUCAACUUCUAAGUUCGUCUUUCUUUAUUAGUGUUUUCUCGAACAAAACAUGAACCAAGAAACACACUCUUAUUUGGUUUAUGAUGUUUGCUAGCUUUUUCUUGGAUGAUUAAUCUCCAAGUCUAUGAAUUAUAUCGUAUGUUUCGGAUUUAAAAUAAAGUC